CCUACGGGAGGCAGCAGUGAGGAAUAUUGGGCAAUGGGCGGACGCCUGAACCAGCAAAGUCGCGUGAGGGAAGACGGACCUAGGGGUUGUAAACCUCUUUUGUCAGGGAGCAACGCCGGCUACGUGUAGCCGGACUGAGAGUACCUGAAGAAAAAGCAUCGGCAAACUCCGUCCCAGCAGCCGCGGUAAUACGGAGGAUGGGAGCAUUAUCCGGAUUUAUUGGGUGUAAAGGGUGCGUAGGCGGAAUGCCAAGUAAGCGGUAAAAUCGCGGGGCUCAACCUCGCUCCGCCGUUGAAACUGGGGUUCGUGAGUGGGCGAGAAGUAUGCGGAAUGCGUGGUGUAGCGGUGAAAUGCGUAGAUAUCACGCAGAACUCCGAUUGCGAAGGCAGCAUACCGGCGCCCAACUGACGCUGAAGCACGAAAGCGUGGGUAUCGAACAGGAUUAGAUACCCUAGUAGUC
rnacentral:rRNA from 1 species